rnacentral:rRNA from 9 species
CCAGGAUGUUGGCUUAGAAGCAGCCAUCAUUUAAAGAAAGCGUAAUAGCUCACUGGUCGAGUCGGCCUGCGCGGAAGAUGUAACGGGGCUAAACCAUGCACCGAAGCUGCGGCAGCGAACGUAUCACCCAAGACAACUUUACGGAGUUGACGAUUGACGGAGCGAAGCGACGUCAAAGCGUUCAUUAAAGUCGAGUUGGCUUAGGGAUACGUUCGUUGGGUAGGGGAGCGUUCUGUAAGCCUGUGAAGGUGUGUCGUGAGGCAUGCUGGAGGUAUCAGAAGUGCGAAUGCUGACAUAAGUAACGAUAAAGCGGGUGAAAAGCCCGCUCGCCGGAAGACCAAGGGUUCCUGUCCAACGUUAAUCGGGGCAGGGUGAGUCGACCCCUAAGGC